rnacentral:lncRNA from 1 species
ACUCAACGCCACUAUUCUUGAACAACUUAGAGCCGAGCCUUCUUUUUGCACUAUUACGAAUAUGAAAAUAAUAGUCAAAAUCGUAUUCAAUUGUCAACUGCCCCUAUCGAAAAUAGGAUUAACUACCGAUUUUGAAGGAACGAACUGGAGUUACAUCUCUUUUCUAUUCAAGAGUUCUUAUCCGUUUCCACACCCCUUUGAGACCCCGAAAAAUAGACAAAUUCCUUUUCUUAGGAACACAUACAAGAUUCGUCACUACAAAAAGGAUAAUGGUAACCCUACCACUAACUACUUUAUUUAUGAAUUUCAUAGUAAUAGAAAUACAUGUCCUACCGAGACAGAAUUUGGAAUUUGCUAUCCUCUUGCCUAGCAGGCAAAGAUUUACCUUCGUGGAAAGGAUGAUUCAUUCGGAUCGACAUGAGAGUUCAACUACAUUGCCAGAAUCCAUGUUGUAUAUUUGAAAGAGGUUGACCUCCUUGCUUCUCUCAUGGUACACUCCUCUUCCCGCCGAGCCCCUUUUCUCCUCAAUCCACAGAGACAAAAUGUAGGACUGGUGCCAACAGUUCAUCAUGAAAGAAAGGACUCACUAAGUCAGGAUCACUAACUAAUACUAAUCUAAUAUAAUAGAAAAUACUAAUAUAAUAGAAAAGAACUGUCUUUUCUGAAUACUUUCCCUGGUUCUGUUGAUACCGCGGGCUUUACGCAAUUAAUCAGAUUAGAUAGAUAUCCUUUCAACAUAUGUCAUCGAAAGGAUCUCGGAGACCUACCAAAGUACGAAAGACAGGAUCUUUCAUAAAACAAAUUCCUAUUCAAAAAGUGCAUAUUGUAACUAGCAUUUGCUGCUAUAGAAUAAACCAAUUUCAAAAUGGGAUAACAUAAUCGAUAGGGCAGGAGUUCUAGUAUCAUAAGCGUUUCCUCAUAGGAACGUCCGCGGAUUUGAUCAAUUACUCUUCGUGCUUUGUCAGCAGACAUAGAUAAAUGUUGACCUAAAGCAUAUACUUCCAUUUUUUUCUUCUUUAGCAUAAGGUUUUCCUUCUCCUACUGAAUCAUAAGCAUCUAGAUUUUUUUUAUUAUUAUUAACAUUAACGACGAGAUCUAUUAUCGCUUUUUGCAUGUCCUCUAAAAUUUAAUGUAGGUGAAAAUUCUCCCAAUUUGUGGCCUACCAUACUAUCCGUUAUAUAAAUAGGCAAAUGCUCUUUUCCAUUAUGGAUAGCAAUAGUAUGAUCAAUCAUUGUGGGUAUAAUGGUAGAUGCUCGGGACCAAGUUACUAAUAUUUCUUUUUCUGCUUUUGUGUUAAGCUUAUCAAUUUUUUUUAAUAAAUGAUUGGCUACAAAGGGAUUUUUUUAGUGAAUGUAUCACAAGCUUACUCCUAUUUUUUUUUUGUAAAGUUUUUGUAAAAACAAAGAAUUAAAUUUGAUUCUCUCCUAUUUACUACGGAGACGAAGAAUCAAAUUAUCACUAUAUUUAUUCCUUCUUCUACUUCUUCUUCCAAGUGCAGGAUAACCCCAAGGGGUUGUGGUUUUUUUUCUACCAAUUGGGGCUCUCCCUUCACCACCCCCAUAGGAAUGGUCUACAGGGUUCAUAACUACUUCUCUUACUACAGGACGCUUACCUAGCCAACGCUUAGAUCCGACUCUAUCCAAACUUUUCUGGUUCACCCCAACAUUCCCCACUUGUUCGACUGUUGCUGAGCAGUUUUUGGAUAUCAAACGGACCUCCCCAGAAGGUAAUUUUAAUGUGGCCGAUUUCCCCUCUUUUGCAAUCAGUUUCGCUACAGCACCCACUGCUCUAGCUAAUUGUCCACCUUUUCUAAAUGUGAUUUCUAUGUUAUGUAUGCCCGUGCCUAAGGGUAUAUCGGUUCAAGUAGAUUUUUCUUUUGAUCAAUCAAAACCCUUCCCAAACUGUACAAAUAAAGUACCACAUGGGUGGAUAUAUAUAUGAAUCCAAAUCUGCCGAAUCACUCAUGUUAUGAUCUUCUACAUCCUGGGUCUUCCUGUUUCGUCAUCUGUCUUAUGUUCUUCAUGUAGCAUUCAAAUCGAAUGACUCUAUGAAAUUACGUCGAUACUUCCAUAUAUUAUGGAUAACGUAGGAGACAUCUCUAUUUUUCCCCCAGGGAAUCUUUAGAAUUCUCACUGCUUAACUUUUAAUUCGCCUUUGACCAUCAAAUGAAAUGUGAAUAACCCAUCCUCAUCUCUUUGAAAGAAAGGGUGCUUCUGGUUCUGUUAGUGCUUGAAAUAAUUUUGUCUUCUCUAUAUUAGUAUAUCUCUAGAGUCAAUAAUUUUAUAUGAGGAACUACUGAACUCAAUCACUUUCUGCCGUUACUCUUUAGUUUUCUGUUGAGGUCUAUCCUGCAGAGGUACUCAAAUUAGAUCAGUGAUUGAUUUCUAGGUUUCAUCGUAAACCUAAUUGGUUAUUUCCAAUUACGUAAAUAAUAGUUCAAACCGCACUCAAAGGUAGGGCAUUUCCCAUUUUUAUAGGAACUUCUGUACCAGAAACAAUGGUAUCUCCAAUUAUAGCCCCUCUGGGAUGUAAAAUAUAUCUCUUCUCACCAUCGCCAUAGUGUAUGAGACAAAUGUCUGCAUUUCGAUUAAGGUUGUAUUCUAUGGUUAUGAUUCUACCAUAUAUGUCUUUUUCAUUCCAUCAAAAAUUGAUUUUACAGUAUAGACGCUUAUGACCUCCCUCUCUAUGCCUUACGGUAAUGAUUCCUCUGGCAUUACAACCUUUACCACAAUGACGCUGUCCAUAGAUCAAAUUAUUUCAUGGAUUGGAUUUCACUUGACUGUCUACGGUUCCAUUGCGUGUGCUCGGGGUAGAAGUUUUGUAUAAAUGUAUCGCCAUGCUAUUAAGUAUUUUUAUUUAAGUUCUUUUCUUUCUAAGAGGUGGAAUAGAAUAACCCGGUUGAAGCGUAAUGAUCAUACGUUUGUAAUGAAUUGUAUGUCCCAUAAUAGGUCCCAUUCUUCUUCUCUUUCCCGGAAGUCGAUGACUAUUCAUAGCUAUUACCUUGACACCAAAGGUACUAUGAUAUGAAUAUACCAUAUCAAUUCGUUAUGUACGAUUUUCACUAAUUACUACUAUUUCAGAUACUUCAUGGUACGGUAUUAUUUUGACUACAAGAUCAAACCAAAUUAUAGAGCAAGAUUUUCUAAGUAAUAGUCAACAAAUUGGAAUUCAUUUAUCAACAGAUUUUUUUCUUCCAUUUGAACUUAUUUCAAUAAUACUUUUAGUUUCUUUAAUAGGUGCAAUUGUUGUAGCUCAGCAAUAAAAAAUUUCUAUUAAAACUUAGAAUUCAAAUAAAAUUCUGUUCUGCCUUAUCACAUUCAUUUUCCUUCAAUUAUAUUUGAAUUUCAGCUGUAUAAAUAGAAAGACUUUAGGUCAAUCUAGUACCAAUAUAUUUCGUUGUUCCAUACUUGUUAUAUACUCGUCAAUUAAAUUGGUUGAAUUGUUUUUCAUAUUAAAAAGAGUCGAGAUUGAUAAGGAGUUGUUUAAUGAUUCUCGAGCAUGUACUUGUUUUGAGUGCCUAUUUAUUUUCUAUCGGUAUCUAUGGAUUGAUCACAAGUCGAAAUAUGGUUAGAGCCCUUAUGUGUCUUGAACUUAUAUUGAAUGCGGUUAAUAUAAAUUUUGUAACAUUUUCUGAUUUUUUUGAUAAUCGUCAAUUAAAAGGAGACAUUUUCUCAAUUUUUGUUAUAGCUAUUGCAGCUGCUGAAGCAGCCAUUGGACUGGCUAUUGUUUCAUCAAUUUACCGUAACAGAAAAUCAACUCGUAUCAACCAAUCAAAUUUGUUGAAUAAUUAGUAUUAAUCAUCUAGAUUCUAAUAUUGAUAAAUCGAUUUUAAUUAGCAUGUUUGCUACGUAAGGUAUGAUCUUGUUUGCAAAACAUAAGAAAUCAAAGUAUUUUGGCCUCUCUCAUAUUUCAUAAACCAAUCCCGAAGGGGGUUGAUUAGAAUAUUAUGAUGACUCAUCGAUUCGUCUGGUAUCUAAAUAUAUGAUUCGUUUCUAAGUUUACUAGAUUGAAAAGUUAUAACAUUGGAAAACGUAUAGACCCAAUGUCAUAUUCAGUAAAGAUUUAUGAUACGUGUAUAGGAUGUACUCAAUGUGUCUGAGCCUGCCCCACCGAUGUAUUAGAAAUGAUACCUUGGGACGGUUGUAAGGCUAAACAAAUUACUUCUUCUCCACGAACAGAGGACUAUGUUAGUUGUAAGAGAUGUGAAUUCGCUUGUCCAACAAAUUUCUUGAGUGUCCGAGUUUAUUUAUCUCAUGAAACAACUCGCAGUAUGGGUCUAGCUUAUUGAUACAUUCGAGAAAACUCUACUCGAAUUCAUUUAAUUUUUUUUACCGACAAACCUGUGCUCGAAAAUAAAACUAUUUUGAGCACGGAUUUUUUUUGGUCCAAGUGUAUCUUGUCUUUACUAAGAAUUAUUUUCCUUGGUUAACAAUAAUUGUUGUUUUUCUGAUAUUUGCGGGUUCUUUAAUUUUCUUUCUUCCCCAUAAAGAAAAUCGGGUAAUUAGGUGGUAUACUCUAUGUAUAUGUAAUUUAAAACUCCUUCUAAUGACUUAUGCAUUUUGUUAAAAUUUCCAAUUGGAUGAUCCAUUAAUACAACUAGUGGAGGACUAUAAAUGGAUCGAUUUUUUUGAUUUCCAUUGGAGAUUAGGAAUAGAUGGACUUUCUAUAGGACCCAUUUUAUUAACAGGAUUUAUUACUACCUUAGCGACUUUGGCGGCUUGGCCAGUUACUCGAGAUUCUCGAUUAUUCCAUUUUCUCAUGUUAGCAAUGUACAGUGGCCAAAUUGGAUCAUUUUCGUCUCGGGACCUUUUACUUUUUUUCAUCAUGUGGGAGUUAGAAUUAAUUCCUGUUUAUCUACUUCUAGCCAUGUGGGGAGGAAAGAAACGUCUGUACUCAGCUACAAAAUUUAUUUUGUACACGGCGGGGGGUUCUGUUUUUCUCUUAAUGGGAGUUUUGGGUGUUGCUUUAUAUGGUUCUAAUGAACCAACAUUAAAUUUUGAAACAUCAGUUAAUCAGUCAUAUCCUGUGGUUUUAGAAAUAAUCUUCUAUAUUGGAUUUUUUAUUGCUUUUGCUGUCAAAUCGCCCAUUAUCCCCCUACACACAUGGUUACCAGAUACCCAUGGAGAAGCACAUUACAGUACUUGUAUGCUUCUAGCCGGAAUCUUAUUAAAAAUGGGAGCGUAUGGAUUAAUUAGAAUCAAUAUGGAAUUAUUACCUCAUGCCCAUUCUAUAUUUUCUCCUUGGUUGAUGAUAAUAGGUACAAUACAAAUAAUCUAUGCAACUUCAACAUCUCUUGGCCAACCAAAUUUAAAAAAAAAAAAGAAUAGCCUAUUCCUUUGUCUCUCAUAUGGGUUUCAUAAUUAUAUGAAUUAGUUCUCUAACCGAUACGGGACUUAAUGGAACCCUUUUACAAAUAAUCUUUCAUGGAUUUAUUGGUGCUGCACUUUUUUUCUUGGCGGGAACGACUUAUGAUAGAAUCCGCCUUGUUUAUCUUGACGAAAUGGGCGGAAUAGCUAUUCCAAUGCCAAAAAUGUUCACGAUGUUCAGUAGCUUUUCGAUGGCUUCCCUUGCAUUACCAGGUAUGAGUGGUUUUGUUGCCGAAUUGAUAGUAUUUUUUGGAAUAAUUACCGGCCAAAAAUAUCUUUUAAUUCCAAAACUACUAAUUACUUUUGUAAUGGCAAUUGGAAUGAUAUUAACUCCUAUUUAUUCAUUAUCUAUGUCACGCCAGAUGUUCUAUGGAUACAAGCUAUUUAAUGCCCCGAAGGAUUCUUUUUUUGAUUCUGGACCCCGAGAGUUAUUUCUUUCUAUCUCCAUCUUUUUACCCGUAAUAGGUAUUGGUAUAUACCCCGAUUUCAUUUUUUUCAUUAGCAAUUGACAAGGUCGAAGUUAUUCUAUCUAAUUUUUUUUAUAGAUAAUUUGGAUGACUGAAAUAAAAAAAAACUAUGUUUAUUUUUAAAAUCAUUCUUGGAAAAUGAAAAAAAGUCUUCUUUUUUUCUUCUCUUAACUCUUAAGUUAAGUAAAAACAAUGAAAUUGAAUAACAUAUGGUAGAAAACCGUGUGAAUCAAAUAUUGUAUUGAUGAUUCACACGGUCCGCAUGUUGGUUCAUACAAUGCGCCCCCCGCUCUUGUUUUUGUAAUAACUUGUCUUGAAUUCAAUUAAAUGUUGAUGGAAAAGAACCGUAACUAUAUAACCCUAUUCCUAAUAGAUUGACCCCAAAAUAGCAUAUCCAAAUUAUAAGAAAGCCUAUAGACGCUACAAUUGUAGAAUUUGCACCUCGCAAAUUUCUAUGUGUUCGAGUAUGUAAAUAAAUUGUAAAUAUGAUCCAAGUAAUAAAUGCCCAAGUUUCUUUUGGGUCCCAAUUCCAAUACGACCACCACUCUUCAUUAGCCCAUACCGCUCCCGAAAGGAUUCCUAUGGUUAAAAAAGUAAAUCUUAAACUAAUAACCCGAUAACUUCAAUAAUCCAAUUAUUGAAUCAAUUGGGACUAGUAAUAAUUUUUAGCAGAAAAAAAUGAAGUAUUUUCUAAAACAUUUUUACCCAAGAAAAAUGACUCGUUUAAAAAACCAUUGCUCUUAUAAAAAAGCUUUCUGUUUUUUUGAAAUGUAAUCACUAGAAGUGCUACUGAUAAUAACAAUCCAUAUAAAAGGGCUGCAUAGCCCAAUAUCAUCAUACUUGCAUGCAUUAUUAACCACUCAGAUUGAAGAGUAGGUACUAAUAUUCCAGAUUGGUGUAUUUCAGUUAAAAUACCUGAAGUAGCAAAGCCUUGGGUAAAAAUAGCACUUGGCCCCGUUAUUUUACUUAAAAUUAAAAUAUUUUUUUGAAAUACGGAAUUAUUUGAAUAAGGGAGAAGCUCCAUGAAAGGAAAAUUAAUGAUUCAUAUAAAUUACUAAGUGGGAAAUGUCCCAAAGAAAUCCAACGAGUAACUAAUAAUCCUGUUAUACAGAAAAAGUAACUAUUAUGCCCUUUUCUGAUGAAUCGUAUAGCUUUACGAUUUCAUCGACUAAAAAGGUUAUCAAAUGAAUUAUAAUUAUAAUUGAAACGAUCGGAAAGGAAAUGUGAGUUAAUAUAUUCUCUAAGGUUGAAAAUAUCAUAAAAAUCUUUAAAAAAAAAAAGAGUCCCUUAAUUACAUAAUUCUAAAAUGGAAAUCGAAAAUUGAAUUCAUUAUAAGAUCUAUUUAUCCUUUUCAGAAGACGGUAUGCCGCCACUCGGACUCAAAUCGAGAUGCAUUAGCACUGCUUCCUAAGAGCAGCGUGUCUACCAAUUUCACCAUAGUGGCCUGUCUUGAACUCAUAAUAGCCUAUGAAUAAGCAAUCGUCGAGAUUGAGUAAGCUAUUUUAGUUUAGUAAUGAUUCAAAUGGAUUAAUAACAAUAAAAGGUUGUUCAAAUAGGAAUUGGAGGUUGACGGUUCAUUAUUUUAGAUUUGAGUUUAGAUUCUUAGUUUUUUUAUUUAACCUGAAACUUUCCUAUAUUUUAUGCUUUUCACGAAUUGAACUCUUGUAACUAAACCGUUCUAUAUUCAAUUAAGGAAUAGAGUUCAAAAAUUAUUUGUUUUCAUUAUUUAAUCAGAAAUUUAUUAUUUAUUUAUUUUUCAUAAAUCUAAAACAAAAAAAAGGUAUUUUGACGAUAAAAUAGAAAGAAAAGAACCUAUUUUGCAUCGCUCGAAAUUGACAAUUAGUCAUACAAAAUUUCAUUAAGCAAUUUUCUCUAUUGGGUUAAGGGCAAGAUAUACAUGGGGUCUAUAUAAUAAUUCAGAGAAAAUAAAAAGUUAUAAAGUUAGACAAAACACAAAGGUUGCAAAAUAGAAUCAAUUAGUUUCAAUGAGUUCUUAACUUUCACUAAAGAUUUUUAUAUACGUUCUUCUCUAGAUAUGGAGAGAUGGAAAUAGAAUCGAAAUAUAGAAUUUUUUUUUUAAUUUAAUUCUGCAAACAAAUAGGUCGGUGGGGAAAAUCAAACUCCCCACCUUGGAAUAGAAACGAUCUUUAUUCUUUUGUCAACAAAAAAGUUAUUAUUCAGUGAAUAGUAAAUAUAGGAUUUCCUAAUUCUAUUAUGAAAGGUAAAUCCUAAAAUUAUUCAAUUAGAUAAUAAUUGAAUAAUUUUAGAAUAUAUUGAAUUAUUUUUUCAAGUUGAUUCAAAUUAUUCUAACGUUUUAUUACUUAUUUAUUUUUGUUUGGCGUACCAAAAAAAAAACUUUUUGACUCCCCAGUAGAAAUAGCUUUCGCUAACGAAAAAGCCUUUAAUGCUAUCCAAUAUGUCUUCCUUUUCCAAAUAUUUUUACGAAUACAUUUUUUUGAUCUCGAAGUGCGUUUUUUUGGAGCUGCCAUUAUAAAAUUCCUCAUUGUUAGUUAUAGUUAGAUGUGAAAUACAUCUAUUGUUCAAAAUGAAUUCUUUAUAAUACGUAAUUUAUAAUACAAAAAUAAAACAUGAUUGAGAUAGGCAAAAGAUAAGAAUAGAAAAUCCGAUUUAAGUUUUAAUUUAGUUUAAGUUAGUCCAUAUUUUUACUUUUUAUUGAGUCCUUUCAAAAGAGGUAAGAUCCGGUGAAUCGAAAACAAUUAAUUAAGAAUUCAAAACUUUUUUAUGGAACAGACAUAUGAAUAUGCGUGGAUCAUACCUUUCAUUCCACUUCCAGUCCCUAUGUUAAUAGGAGCGGGACUUAUUCUUUUUCCAACGGCAACAAAAAGUUUUCGCCGUAUGUGGGCUUUUCAAAGUGUUUUAUUGUUAAGCAUAGUCAUGAUUUUUUCAAUCUACCUGUCUAUUCAGCAAAUAAAUAGCAGUUCUUUUUCUCAAUAUGUAUGGUCUUGGAUCAUUAAUAAUGAUUUUUCUUUAGACUUCGGAUACUUGAUCGACCCACUUACUUCUAUUAUGUUAAUAUUAAUCACUACUGUUGGGAUUAUGGUUCUUAUUUAUAGUGAUAAUUAUAUGGCUCAUGAUUAAGGCUAUUUGAGAUUUUUUGCUUAUAUGAGUUUUUUCAGUACUUCCAUGUUGGGAUUAGUUACUAGUUCGAAUUUGAUACAAAUUUAUAUCUUUUGGGAAUUAGUUGGUCUGUGUUCCUAUCUAUUAAUAGGAUUAUGGUUUACAUGACUUGUUGCGGCAAAUGUUUGUCAAAAAGCCUUUGUAACUAAUCGUGUUGGGGAUUUUGGUUUAUUAUUAUGAAUUUUAGGUUUUUAUUGGAUAACGGGGUGUUUCAAAUUUAGGAAUUUAUUCGAAAUAUUCAAUAACUUGAUUUAUAAUAAUGAGGUCAAUUUUUUAUUUGUUACUUUAUGCGUUGUUCUCUUAUUUGUCGGUGCAGUUGCUAAAUCCGCCCAAUUCCCCUUUCAUGUAUGGUUACCUGGUGCCAUGAAGGGGCCUACUCCUAUUUCGGCUCUUAUACAUGCUGCUCAUAUCGUAGCGGCGGGGAUUUUUCUUGUAGCUCGGCUUCUUCCUCUUUUCAGAGUUAUACCUUACAUAAUAUAUUUGAUCUCGAUUAUAGGAAUAAUAACAGUAUUAUUAGGAGCUACGUUAGCUCUUGCUCAAAAAGACAUUAAGAGAGGUUUAGCCUAUUCUACAAUGUCUCAAUUGGGUUAUAUGAUGUUAGCUCUAGGUAUGGGGUCUUAUCGAAGCGCUUUAUUUCAUUUGAUUACUCAUGCUUAUUCCAAAGCAUUAUUAUUUUUAGGAUCCGGAUCCAUUAUUAAUUCAAUGGAAACUAUUGUUGGAUAUUCUCCAGUUAAAAGCCAGAAUAUAGGUCUUAUGGGAGGUUUAAGAAAACAUGUACCAAUUACCAAAAUCACAUUUUUAUUAGGUACACUUUCUCUUUGUGGUAUUCCACCUCUUGCUUGUUUUUGGUCCAAAGAUGAAAUUCUUAAUGAUAGUUGGUUGUAUUCGCCAAUUUUCGCAAUAAUAGCUUGGGCCAGGGUGGGAUUAACCGUAUUUUUAUGUUUUGGAUCUAUUUACUUACUUUUGAAGGGCAUUUAAAUAGAAUUCAAAUGUACAGUACCUAUAUGUUUGGAAUAGAUUCCAUUUUGAGUAGAAUAGAUUCCAUUUUGAGAGAGUUGAAAAAGCACUAUCUUGUUGAAAGGUUCUAUACAUCUGCCCUUUCUCAAUGCAUUUCUUUAGACAAAGAAUCCAUUUUUCCUCUUUUCGGAUGAUAAAUUUUUCUCAAAACAUGGAGUGUGAAUCAAACCCAUGUUUGAAUUGAAAUUGAGAUACUGAUGCAAGUUCUUCCCUUCUGAAUCAGAUAGAUUCAUAGCUGAAAGAGGUUGAUAAUAAGUUCUUUCAAAAUUGACCAUUUGCCCCUCUGUAAGAUGUGUUCCAGAAAUGUUUGCGAUCGAGUAAAUAGCUCUACGAACGAAUGCAUCGAAUUGACAUGGAAAAUGGAAAGAUUUGUACAAGUUAUAUGUUUCGUUACCAUUUUGUGGAAAAUCGUUAGGUAUGAAUAUGUUAGAUACCUAUGACUCGAUUGGUGAAAUAGUAUCUCUCCCCAAAAAAAUAUGUUUUUUUUACCAACGCACAAAGAAAAGAUUUUGUUGCAAAUGAACAAGAUAUUCAGGAAUUGUCCAUACGUAAAAUCAGAAUUAUUGAUAAGGGCCUUUUCCACAGAAAAGGGGAAUCUAGUGUUCCAACAGAAGCAGAAGUGCUGGGGAUUAUUCAAGAAUCGAAGUCGAUUUGCUUUAUAAAAAGAAGAUAUCAAUGAACUUCUAUGAAAUGGUUUCAUGGGAUUCAGCCAAUUGUCUUGAUCGUGGAAUAUCAUUAAGAAAUAGUAAUCCAGGUUAUCAAAGGAUUUCCUACGAUUAUUUCUAGUAUGGAAUGAGUCAAUCAUCCACUUUGGUAUCUUAUUGAACAAAAAUGGUGAUAUUGUUCUUCUAUUGAUCAAUAAUUUCGAUUUUUGGGAAGUAUCAUAAUCGUCCAAUAAGAAGGGUUUCAAUUUUUGGAAAUGAACAACUUGAAGACCUAUUGAUUCUAACAACUAAUUGCAGAUUUGAUCAUUCAGACCUUUCAAUUCAUAGUUGUAGAUCUCGGACCUAGUAAUGGGGAUAUUUUCGAAACUCACACAAAAAAAGAAAUGCGUAAGACAAAAAUAAAAUCAACUUGGACAAAAAAAGAGGUGACUUAUACAAAAAGAAACGAAGUAGCUUAGACAAAUAUUUUUUGUCAAUAACCUCAGAACAAUCAAUCGAAUAUUGAUUAAUACGUAAUCAAUCGAACACUACUUGAAAAUGGCUCUUCUGCUCCGAAACGGACUAUUCCAAAUGUUCCUGGAAAUUCUUACUCCCAUUGGACCAUUUGUAUCUAUAUGCAUCAGGAUCCCGAUUCAUGGAUCUCUCAGUUUGAGAAAUCAAAAUAAGAGGCUCGAACCAUUUCUUCUGACUCUUUUUCAAAUUCGAUAAAUAUUGGUUGAUCAUAUAUUUCAUUAUAGUUCUAUGAUUCAGAGUAUCCUUUCCUAUUGAAUCCAUUUGAAUUCCAUAUUCAAAGUUGCGAUCAGAUCUAUUCAUUAAAAAGAAUCGAUUCAAUACAUUUCUUAUGUACCCAUAGGUACUAUAUUAGAUUUGAAUUAGAUUUCGGAUCAAUAUAUAUUAAGUGACUGCCUCCAUUAUGUUGUUGCUUGCAAAUACCACUAUUUUUGGUUUUGGAUCUUCCAAAUCAUUCCUGCAGGAGAUCCGGACCCAUUUUUUUCUGAUCCUUCGAGAAAAAGAUUCAUUCUCUUAAUAAAAAAUAGAAGGUAGAACCAAUAAAGAUUUUUUUUUAUUCUUCCCUGGCCUCAUUCAAGAAUUGUUUUUGAUCCAAUCUGCAGGAAUCAAUAGAAAAGGCAAAUCCCUUAUGAUACACCAGAUCCAGCUCAGUUAUUGAUAGAGUGAAUAGAUCUGCCAUUUCUUGAAAUCUCUCUUCUGAUUCAAAAUUGUAAUGUACCGUGUAUCCUCCCCUGUUCCAGUCAUGGAAUAGAUAAAAUAAAUCAAAAAAUGGAUUUUUGGUCAAGAAUGAAAUCCUAUUGGAACUGUCUAUAUCCGGUUCAUCCUUCGAAACCAUAUCACAUCCUAGAUCUGAUGAAAUAGGAUGAAUUAAGAUGGUAUUUUGUAAAUACGUAAUUAUCUUGAAUAUAUUAACCAUUUCUUUAUUUUUCGAUCGCCUGGAAGGGACAAAAGAAAGGUCAUGUUAUUUCUUCAACAAUUUUUGAUCACUAGUGGACCUCUCAGUAGGAUUCGAACCCAGAUGAAGUUCUGACCAUCUAUCAGAGAAAAAAGAACGAACGGAUCUUGUAGCAUUCCUGGCCCACCAAACGAAACCAGUGGUUUCUUGGUCACGACCAGCUAAGGGUAAAGUUCUAUUAAAGAGCAUUUCCACGUGGUAGAACCUCCUCAGGGAAUAUAAGGUUUUUAUGAGGCUGAUCUUUAGCCGCCAUCCAAGCGCGAAUACCUUCGUUUAAGAGAAUAUUUUUGGUGUAGAAAGUCUCAAAUUCAAGAUCUUCCGCCGUGCGAAUUUCCUAAGAAACGAAGUCAUAGGCACGUAGGUUCAGGGACUACUCCAAGAGCAUUCAUCCAUAAACUGGUUACUGGUACAAAUAACAUAAAUAAAUGUAACCAACGUUUAUUGGAAAAAGCAACCCCAAAGAUUUGGAACCAAAAGCGGUUAACGAUGACCAUUGAAUAAGUUUCUUCGGCUUGAGUUGGGUUAAAAGCAUGGAAUGUAUUUGCACUAUCACCGUCUUCAAAUAAAGUAUUUUCUACGGUAGCACCAUAAAUGGCGCAUAGCAAAGCAGCGCCCAAUACACCGGCAACUCCCAUCAUAUGAAAGGGAUUCAAGGUCCAAUUAUGAAACCCUUGAAAAAAUAUGAUGAAUCGAAAUAUAGCUGCUACACCAAAACUAGGUGCAAAGAACCAACCCGACUGACCUAGUGGAUAAAUCAAAAAUACAGAAAUAAAAACAGCAAUUGGACCAGAGAAUGCAAUUGCAUUAUAAGGUCUCAAUUGAACAGAUCGAGCAAGCUCGAAUUGACGUAACAUGAAACCUAUUAGGACAAAAGCUCCAUGGAGCAACAAAAGUCCAUAGACCCCCUAAUUGACACCAACGAGUAAAAUCUCCUUAUGCUUCAGGACCCCAUAGUAACAACAACGAAUGUGCUAAACUAUUAACAAGAAUAGAAACCACGGCAGUUAAGAAAUUGCAGCCUUUCAAAUAAGAACUGGCCAAUCCAUAGGUAUACCAUAAAGUUACAAAGGUUGUACCUUUGAACCAACCCCCUAAAGCAAAAUAGACACAAGGAAAGAGCAAUAGACCGGACCAUACUAUAAAAACGAAAUGGUCCCUCCGUAACCAGUCAUCCAUAAUAUCAAAUAAAUCACUUUCAUCUUUGGUAAACUUACCAAUGGCUAUAGUCAUAGCGAUCCUCCUAUUCAACUACUUCGACCAUUUCCGAGCACCUCAUAUCUUUUUCGGGGCGUCCGAAGAUUCGAUCAUUUUUGUAUGAUUUCUCUUGCACUGCCCUUUCCAAUGGGUUUCGAAGAUAAAAAUCCUUUAUUGAUUAGCCCAUAAACUGACCUAGGUAAAUCCAUGAACUCCAUUGGAUUAUUCCUUCUGACUAAGCAUAUGAACCAUGAAUUAUCUUAUUAAGACAAUUCAAUCAAUCCCUUGUUUUGAAAGAACUCUUCAAGGACCAAACGGUCCCUUUCCUUCAUACUUCAUAUAAAUAAAUCUAAAACCCCAGAGUAUAUCUUUCCACGGAUCGAAAGAAAAAAGAAAGUUCGAGCAAAUAUUUAUUUUUAGAUUCUUUUGUCUGUUAGAAAAAGAGAUAAUCUACUAUUUUUCCCUUUAGCAAAUCUAAAAUUCAAUAAAAUAAAUAAAAUAACUAGGAGACUGGAAAUGAAAGUCUCUUUCUCGGAUCUAUUCUUCAUCACACUGUUGGAACAAAACAAAAAUACCGGAUGCAACGAUAUUGAAAUAUUUGUUACAUGAAGCCACGAUCUGAUAGAUAUACAUCGAAAUCUACAAUCUACUUAAUAUAGAUAUAUAAUCUAGAUAGAAAUUAAUCUUUGAUCUAGAAUCAAAGAAAGAUAAUAAAUGGCUCUUAUGGUGUGACUUGGAAGAAAGGUUUAUCUGUAGAGGAAAGGAAUAACAAUUUAUUCCUAUAAUUUUUCCUAUAGA